UACGAAGGGGGCAAGCGUUGUUCGGAAUUACUGGGCGUAAAGCGCGCGCAGGCGGUCUUCCAAGUCAGUGGUGAAAGCCCGGAGCUCAACUCCGGAACUGCCAUUGAAACUGUGAGACUUGAGGAUGAGAGAGGUGAGUGGAAUUCCCAGUGUAGAGGUGAAAUUCGUAGAUAUUGGGAAGAACACCAGUGGCGAAGGCGGCUCACUGGCUCAUAUCUGACGCUCAGGCGCGACAGCGUGGGGAUCAAACAGG
rnacentral:rRNA from 1 species